CCUACGGGGGGCAGCAGUGGGGAAUAUUGGACAAUGGGGGCAACCCUGAUCCAGCCAUGCCGCGUGUGUGAAGAAGGCCCUCGGGUUGUAAAGCACUUUCAGUGAGGAAGAACGCCUGGUGGUUAAUACCCAUCAGGAAAGACAUCACUCACAGAAGAAGCACCGGCUAACUCCGUGCCAGCAGCCGCGGUAAUACGGAGGGUGCGAGCGUUAAUCGGAAUUACUGGGCGUAAAGCGCGCGUAGGUGGCUUGAUAAGCCGGUUGUGAAAGCCCCGGGCUCAACCUGGGAACGGCAUCCGGAACUGUCAAGCUAGAGUGCAGGAGAGGAAGGUAGAAUUCCCGGUGUAGCGGUGAAAUGCGUAGAGAUCGGGAGGAAUACCAGUGGCGAAGGCGGCCUUCUGGACUGACACUGACACUGAGGUGCGAAAGCGUGGGUAGCAAACAGGAUUAGAUACCCCGGUAGAC
rnacentral:rRNA from 1 species